rnacentral:rRNA from 1 species
UACUUGGAUACCUGUGGUAAUUCUAGAGCUAAUACAUGCUGGAGGAGUGCAUUUAUUAGACCAAAACCAAUCUUGGUGAAUCUGAAUAACUCAGGGUCUUUGCACCGGCGACGUAUCUUUCAAGUGUCUGCCUUAUCAACUUUCGAUGGUAGUUUAUGUGCCUACCAUGGUUGUAACGGGUAACGGAGAAUAAGGGUUCGACUCCGGAGAGGGAGCCUGAGAAAUGGCUACCACAUCCAAGGAAGGCAGCAGGCGCGCAAAUUACCCACUCUCGGCGAGGAGGUAGUGACGAAAAAUAACGAGACGGUUCUCUUUGUCAUCGGAAUGGGUACAAUUUAAACCCUUUAACGAGGAUCUAUUGGAGGGCAAGUCUGGUGCCAGCAGCCGCGGUAAUUCCAGCUCCAAUAGCGUAUAUUAAAGUUGUUGUGGUUAAAAAGCUCGUAGUUGGAUCUGCUUGGACGCCGGUCGCCCACAGGGUUGUUCGUCGGUUCGUUGCCAGUUCUCUUAACUGGGUGCUGUUGACGGCCGGUACGUUUACUUUGAAAAAAUUAGAGUGCUCAAAGCAAGCGCUUAGCUUGAAUAGUGGUGCAUGGAAUAAUGGAAUAGGAGGUUCUAUUUUGUUGGUUUUCGGAGCGCGAGGUAAUGAUUAAGAGGGACGGACGGGGGCAUUCGUAUUGCGACGUUAGAGGUGAAAUUCUUGGA